AGAGCAGGCUGGACAGCCGCGUAAAUCAUGAGAUUUAUGAGGAAAGUCCGAGCUCCACAGGGCGGGAUAACGGCUAACGGCCGCCGAGGGCGACCUUAGGGAAAGUGCAACAGAGAUAUACCGCCGGAAUUUUUCCGGCAAGGGUGGAAAGGUGAGGUAAGAGCUCACCGGCACACGGGAGACCGCGUGGCCCUGCAAACCCUAUCCGGUGCAACACCGACAGGGAACUAUACGCCUGCCCGGCGUGUUUCCGACGGGUGGCUUGAGCCGUGGGGCAACCUGCGGCCCAGAUAGAUGGCUGUCUAUAACAGAACUCGGCUUACAGGCCUGCUCUAACU
rnacentral:RNase_P_RNA from 1 species